GAUGAACGCUGGCGGCGUGCCUAAUACAUGCAAGUCGAGCGAACAGAUAAGGAGCUUGCUCCUUUGACGUUAGCGGCGGACGGGUGAGUAACACGUGGGUAACCUACCUAUAAGACUGGGAUAACUUCGGGAAGCCGGAGCUAAUACCGGAUAACAUUUGGAACCGCAUGGUUCUAAAGUGAAAGAUGGUUUUGCUAUCACUUAUAGAUGGACCCGCGCCGUAUUAGCUAGUUGGUAAGGUAACGGCUUACCAAGGCAACGAUACGUAGCCGACCUGAGAGGGUGAUCGGCCACCCUGGAACUGAGACACGGUCCAGACUCCUACGGGAGGCAGCAGUAGGGAAUCUUCCGCAAUGGGCGAAAGCCUGACGGAGCAACGCCGCGUGAGUGAUGAAGGGUUUCGGCUCGUAAAACUCUGUUAUUAGGGAAGAACAAAUGUGUAAGUAACUGUGCACGUCUUGACGGUACCUAAUCAGAAAGCCACGGCUAACUACGUG
rnacentral:rRNA from 1 species